UUACACCUCGGGCUUGAUGGUUCCGACGGCUUCCCCAUGGGAGCCCGAGGUGAAAAGGGAACGCGGUCAAGGGCUUCGACGCCCCCAGCCCGCGGCUGCCCCCGCAACUGUAUGCGGAGAGGUCCCGCCCGCUUAGGAACGCCACUGGUUUCGGCCCCGACAUCCACCGGGGGGCCGUGUCGAACCGGGAAGGCAGGGGCAGGACCUUUGACCCGCGAGCCAGGAGACCUGCCAUCAUCAUCGCGUGCGC
rnacentral:ncRNA from 2 species